rnacentral:rRNA from 1 species
CCUACGGGCGGCAGCAGUGGGGAAUAUUGCACAAUGGGCGCAAGCCUGAUGCAGCCAUGCCGCGUGUGUGAAGAAGGCCUUCGGGUUGUAAAGCACUUUCAGCGGGGAGGAAGGCGUUAAGGUUAAUAACCUUGUCGAUUGACGUUACCCGCAGAAGAAGCACCGGCUAACUCCGUGCCAGCAGCCGCGGUAAUACGGAGGGUGCAAGCGUUAAUCGGAAUUACUGGGCGUAAAGCGCACGCAGGCGGCCUGUCAAGUCGGAUGUGAAAUCCCCGGGCUCAACCUGGGAACUGCAUUCGAAACUGGCAGGCUAGAGUCUUGUAGAGGGGGGUAGAAUUCCAGGUGUAGCGGUGAAAUGCGUAGAGAUCUGGAGGAAUACCGGUGGCGAAGGCGGCCCCCUGGACAAAGACUGACGCUCAGGUGCGAAAGCGUGGGGAGCAAACAGGAUUAGAUACCCGUGUAGUC